rnacentral:rRNA from 1 species
AGGGAAUCUUCCACAAUGGACGCAAGUCUGAUGGAGCAACGCCGCGUGAGUGAAGAAGGCUUUCGGGUCGUAAAACUCUGUUAUUGAAGAAGAACGUGCGUGACAGUAACUGGUCAUGCAGUGACGGUAUUCAAUCAGAAAGUCACGGCUAACUACGUGCCAGCAGCCGCGGUAAUACGUAGGUGGCAAGCGUUGUCCGGAUUUAUUGGGCGUAAAGCGAGUGCAGGCGGUCUUUUAAGUCUGAUGUGAAAGCCUUCGGCUUAACCGAAGAAGGGCAUCGGAAACUGGGAGACUUGAGUGCAGAAGAGGAGAGUGGAACUCCAUGUGUAGCGGUGAAAUGCGUAGAUGUAUGGAAGAACACCAGUGGCGAAGGCGGCUCUCUGGUCUGUAACUGACGCUGAGGCUCGAAAGCGUGGGUAGCAAACAGGAUUAGAUACCCUGGUAGUCCACGCCGUAACGAUGAAUACUAAGUGUUGGAGGGUUUCCGCCCUUCAGUGCUGCAGCUAACGCAUUAAGUAUUCCGCCUGGGGAGUACGACCGCAAGGUUGAAAC